rnacentral:rRNA from 1 species
CGGGUGAGUAACGCGUAUCCAACCUGCCCACCACUUGGGGAUAACCUUGCGAAAGUAAGACUAAUACCCAAUGAUAUCUCUAGAAGACAUCUGAAAGAGAUUAAAGAUUUAUCGGUGAUGGAUGGGGAUGCGUCUGAUUAGCUUGUUGGCGGGGUAACGGCCCACCAAGGCGACGAUCAGUAGGGGUUCUGAGAGGAAGGUCCCCCACAUUGGAACUGAGACACGGUCCAAACUCCUACGGGAGGCAGCAGUGAGGAAUAUUGGUCAAUGGACGAGAGUCUGAACCAGCCAAGUAGCGUGCAGGAUGACGGCCCUAUGGGUUGUAAACUGCUUUUAUAAGGGAAUAAAGUGAGUCUCGUGAGGCUUUUUGCAUGUACCUUAUGAAUAAGGACCGGCUAAUUCCGUGCCAGCAGCCGCGGUAAUACGGAAGGUCCGGGCGUUAUCCGGAUUUAUUGGGUUUAAAGGGAGCGUAGGCCGGAGAUUAAGCGUGUUGUGAAAUGUAGAUGCUCAACAUCUGCACUGCAGCGCGAACUGGUUUCCUUGAGUACGCACAAAGUGGGCGGAAUUCGUGGUGUAGCGGUGAAAUGCUUAGAUAUCACGAAGAACUCCGAUUGCGAAGGCAGCUCACUGGAGCGCAACUGACGCUGAAGCUCGAAAGUGCGGGUAUCGAACAGGAUUAGAUACCCUGGUAGUCCGCACGGUAAACGAUGGAUGCCCGCUGUUGGUCUGAAUAGGUCAGCGGCCAAGCGAAAGCAUUAAGCAUCCCACCUGGGGAGUACGCCGGCAACGGUGAAACUCAAAGGAAUUGACGGGGGCCCGCACAAGCGGAGGAACAUGUGGUUUAAUUCGAUGAUACGCGAGGAACCUUACCCGGGCUUGAAUUGCAGCGGAAGGAUUUGGAGACAAUGACGCCCUUCGGGGUCUCUGUGAAGGUGCUGCAUGGUUGUCGUCAGCUCGUGCCGUGAGGUGUCGGCUUAAGUGCCAUAACGAGCGCAACCCCUCUCCUUAGUUGCCAUCAGGUUAAGCUGGGCACUCUGGGGACACUGCCACCGUAAGGUGUGAGGAAGGUGGGGAUGACGUCAAAUCAGCACGGCCCUUACGUCCGGGGCUACACACGUGUUACAAUGGCAGGUACAGAGAGAUGGUGUUCUGCAAAGCGCAUCUAAUCCUUAAAGCCUGUCUCAGUUCGGACUGGGGUCUGCAACCCGACC